rnacentral:rRNA from 1 species
UACGAAGGGGGCUAGCGUUGCUCGGAAUUACUGGGCGUAAAGGGCGCGUAGGCGGACAGUUAAGUUGGGGGUGAAAGCCCGGGGCUCAACCUCGGAAUUGCCUUCAAUACUGGCUGUCUUGAGUGCGGGAGAGGUGUGUGGAACUCCGAGUGUAGAGGUGAAAUUCGUAGAUAUUCGGAAGAACACCAGUGGCGAAGGCGACACACUGGCCCGUUACUGACGCUGAGGCGCGAAAGCGUGGGGAGCAAACAGG